rnacentral:rRNA from 1 species
GACGAACGCUGGCGGCGUGCUUAACACAUGCCAGUCGAACGGUGAAGGGGUCUGCUUUUGUGGGCCCUGGAUGAGUGGCGAACGGGUGAGUAACACGUGAGUAACCUGCCCCCUUCUUCUGGAUAACCGCAUGAAAGUGUGGCUAAUACGGGCUAUUCUGGGUCUGUCGCAUGAUGGGUCUGGGAAAGAUUGCGCCUUUGGGUGUUCGUGGUGGGGGAUGGGCUCGCGGCCUAUCGGCUUGUUGGUGGGGUGAUGGCCUACCAAGGCGGUGACGGGUAGCCGGGCGGAGGGGGUGUACGGUCACACUGGGACUGAGACACGGCCCAGACUCCUACGGGAGGCAGCAGUGUGGAAUAUUGCACAAUGGGCGCAAGCCUGAUGCAGCGACGCCGCGUGAGGGAUGGAGGCCUUCGGGUUGUAAACCUCUUUCGCCAGUGAAGCAGGCCUGCUCCUUGUGGGUGGGUUGACGGUAGCUGGAGAAGAAGCGCCGGCUAACUACGUG